CGCUAGGGUUGCAAUCAACGAAACAAUGAAGCCUCAAACUGUUAUUUCUCUUGCCACUCUUCUUUUUAUUGCAGAUUGUGUCAACGAAAUUGAGAGCUUUACCAUCAAUGUACCAUCUUCGAACAACGGCCGGAGAGGAGCAUUUACGAAUAAUGGCCGGAGAAGCGUUUGUCAAAUGGCAAGAGAUUUUGGAUGCGGAACGAAAUCGUCCAACAAGACCUGAGUAUGGAGCAAAAUACUUACGAUGGGAGUGACAAAGCUUUGUGAUGAUCAUUGAUAUAGACAAGGGGAUCGAAAAACCUCGAAUAUGAAGUAAAAUUAGAUGUUACAUUGAA